rnacentral:lncRNA from 1 species
GGAACUAAAAGUAACUGCUUCUUAAAAAAUAAAUUUGAUUAUCCUGAAGCGUGUUUGUGUAAGUGAGAGCCUCUGCUGUGUGUCUGUCUGCCUGGCGUCUGUCUGCUCGAGUCUAUUGUCAGUCAGGAAAAAUAAUCAUGGUCUCACUCUCACCCUCUCCAGCUGUUAAAGCCACCUGAUGCUGCAGUCUGAUCCGCUCACCUGGGACUGAACACACACACACAAAAACACACAUGGCUGCUAACGCACGUUCAGACCCGCCCAUCCUCACAGAGCAGGAGGAGUUACAGAGAAGAGCCAAUCAGGUCACAGAUGAGUCGCUGGAGAGCACACGGCGGAUGGUUCAGUUGGUUGAGGAGGUACAGACACACACACACACACACACACAGACACACACACUCUCUCUCUCUCUCUCUCUCUCUCUCUCUCUCUCUCUCUUGUUUUCAUAUCUUAGUGAAGACAUCUAAUUGACAUCAUGCUUUCCCUAGCCUCUUAGCCUAACCAUCAAAAAUGAAUGCCUAAACCUAAUCAUAACUGUAACGCUGACACUAAAACCACAUUCUGACUCUCAAAAAUAUCUUCAAACUCGUGGGGACGGGAAUUUUGUCCCCAUAAGUGAAUGCUGGUCCCCACAAGUAUAGUACCAUGCCAGCUCUCUGCCCACACAAAGAAACAAAGAACCCCACAGUGAUGGAGUGAUGAACCUCACCGUGAACUUCAUCAUCAUCAUCUGUAAAUUAGCCUCCUGUGUUUCCGCUGUUGUUUUCCACACGAGGAAAUGGCCAGAGAUCCAUGGCAGAAUGACUCUAACAAAGACGGAUGCAGUGUUAUGAUUAAGUUUAAGCUCCUGGAAAAUGAUUUUGGAUGAACGACGGCUGGAAGAGCAGAACAGUGAGGAAAGCAGGAAAGGAAGUUUUUUCAUUAGUCUAUAAUGCACAGCAUUCAUAUCAAGUCCUUAUACGUUCUUUUUCCAUAACCGCCGUGUGUUUAUUUUUAGUCAUUGUGAUAAGGAU